GCAUGUUGGCUUCACUAUUGGGCAUGUAUGCCUCACGAUUGGACAUGUUGGGCAUGUAUGCCUCAUGAUUGGACAUGUUGGCUUCACUGUUGGGCAUGUUUUCUCUUCACAGUUUCUCUCUGUUAUCAAAAGGGUUAAGAAUAAUUCCCUUUCCAUUCUCAACUUAAGAUCUCUUAGGACCUGAAUAGAGAAUAUCUUUUUUUACCUGUGAAGUUUCUCUUCAAAGCUUCAUGCUCGUCUUUCAGUCUCUGGAAACCGUGCUCGGUCAUGAUGUUAGCAUCAGCUGAAUGAAAAUCAGGAAGUCAAGCUCUGAGGUUGAAGACUCCUCAGGUCAGUCAACAUAAAAACACUUUUUCACAUAAACAACAUUUUUUUAAAUAUCUCCCAAUAAAUUCAUCAUCCAUCUUCAUCAUCU